rnacentral:ribozyme from 1 species
CAGAAAACCAGAAGUCACUGAGUUCACAUGUGCAUAUGGAAGUCAAUGUGUCGCAUGGGAGUGAUAGGGAGCAGCUACUACUGAACGCAAUCAGUUCAAUGCUUUUAGCAUUCAAUCCAGCAACGCAAUUCAGACU